CUCUGGUUCUCCAACGCAUACAUGUACACAAGACGUAGUGAUGAGUGCGAAGCACAGGGUUCACCCACCCAUUUUCCACCCUCUCUGGUGUGUCUAGGUAUAGGUGGCGGUGCUCCCAGUACAACGAUCAGCAUGCUUUUCUGUGCCGACGACGCCGCAUACACAAUACCACCCAUCGACUCUCACGUGCGCGCUAACCACCGCUCUCUUUUCGAUUGUGGCACUCACACAUCCACUCGUGUGCAAAGUACCCUACUUACUGUAAACUGCAAAACAGGAAUAAACGACGAAUAUUAUGUCGUUGAAGAUGAAAACUUCCGAAGAAAAGGAAUGCUUUCUUCUGUUUGUAACAAGACAUUAAAAAAAAUUGAAACUUGGAUCAUAAAAAAGGCAUGCAACUUCAAUGUUUGACCACAGACUUUCAUUGCCAAUGAUCGGAAAAAUUCUGAAACAUUCCCAUAGAGAAUACCUACCUAUACCUAAGUAUUUUAUUUUCAGAAUCUAAAAGAAGGAUUUAAUCAACCUAAAUACAGAAUUAAACAACUAAAUACAGAACUAAAUAGAGUUGAUAAAAUUUUCCUUAUAAAACUGAACUUUAACGAAGUUUUUAGCAUAGAGGCUUCGCCUACUGCGCUGCCACACAUGUGAGAACUUGUGUGUGCGUUCCGUUCCGCGAUGAGAUGAUAGUGGCGUCGUUGUCACGCCGUUUGGCUGACGACGACGCUGACUUUUGAUGAUGAUUUCGGUGUGUCGGCCGUCCGCCCGGUCGGGUUGCUUGGUUUUGUUUACACAUGCUUGCUGACUAUGCUGGCUCGCUUGUUGUGUUGUGCUGGCUGGGGGACGCUGGGUAUCUAGCGUUGUGUACGUGAAUCGCAUUGCAUGACGGCGACGGCGAUCAACCAACGGACGACGACAUGCCAGACGGCAAACCGCCACCACCCCACAAGCGCCUGCUGUCGUCCAAUCCAGCGGUCUUGCGCUUGUUUCUCCGCCAGGCAGUCAUCAUUCCGUGUUGGUUCGGUUCCCGUAUCGGUCGCUUAGCUUCUGCUCUCUCGGAUUCGCCCACCGUCCACAGUAGCACAGUAGUGUGUGGCGACGUUACUCCCCCACCCCGCCGAUCGUUUUGGUUUAUAAUUGCUGCUACUACUGGCAACGGGCGGACGGCAAUGCAGCCUUGAUAGUGGCUCAAGUGGCGCAAAAGUGCAUGACGGAGCUGCGCGUCGUCAAGGGCAUAUGUAGACGCAUCCGUUGCAUUGUGUUGUGCGUGUUUUGGGCGGUGAGGUGCAGUGUGUGAUGCUGUGACGUUCUGGGUGCGUUUCCCGUUGUUAACGUCGUUUCCCGAAUUCUGUGCUACUGGCCGAUGCAGCAGAAGCAUUAUAUUUAGAGCGUGAGAAGCGAAGUGGGAAGUGGGCGCGCGUGAAAGUUGUUUUCGUGAGUGAAAAUUUUUAAAUUUAGUACUUUUGCGAACUUGAGGUAGAAUACUACGUACUAGCAUAGCGUUUUUAGCAUUAAGCGGAUCCCGAGUGAUGAUUGUGAAAAGAUGUUGGUGGGGUGUGUGAAACGACGCGCAUAGAAGAAGCAGCAGGAAGAUAUUUUGAAGGGUGGUUUCAUUCCAACGGCGCGUAAUAAACCGAUUCCCCCUACAAGAGUUUGGUUUCAACCGGGAAGAACAGUGUGUAGUGGCUUUUGGAGCAGUAAACGAUCCCAGAUUCCGGUGAGAAGUGCGGAGAGGAGAGCAACAAUCUAGCGGUGGGUGACCUGUUCUAGGUGGUGGUUUCACAGUGUAGAUCAACUCCACGGCAGAUUGAGAAAGCGUCGUCGUUGCAAAAUUCAAUAAUAAAUGUAAGUUCAAAUCAACAAUAUAUCAAUUUCACGUGGCGUAGAAAACUGUAAGUAUAUAUCUAUGUAUGUAACAAUAUAAAGAGUUUGACGCAUGUCAAUCGCAACAUGAUGUUGCAAGUGUCAUCUGAUUUUUGGGAAGCAAUUUACAACUACUUAUUUUUUCUUCGAUUUGAUGGACACGUAGAUGAGUUGUUCCAUGUUGGUGUUGGUAUAAAAUGUUGGUGAGCUCGUUUCAUAUGUUUACAAUUAAGUAACUGUACAGUAUAUGACUGCCAAAUGGUCUUAAAUCUUACUUGCUGGCUUUUCUCCAUUAUCAACGGUUUAAGGACAAAAUUGGAGGAGUACAAAGAAGGCUGUCACUAUGGCCGCCUGUUACUACGUCAAUUAUUUUUUUUUUUUGUUAAAUAAUCUUGAGCAUCUUCUUUUCCAAAACAUGCUAUUUAUCAAUUUAGCAACCAAAAAACAGCUUCCCUCAUCGUCAAACGAAAGCAAAAUCUCAACAUCAACCAUCCAAAACUCACAAAUCCAAGCACUAGCGGCAAUUUACAAACAUUCAUCCAUGUAUUCGAUCCAAAACCAGUCAGUCAGUCCAAUGAUGAUCGUCAUCUGACGAUGCUGCUUUUCUUCAUUCUACAUAUUCCACAUAUUUACAUCUUCCAUACCGCGCGCGUGCUGGUUGGUGACUCUGAUUCACUAAAGCCAGCCACCCAAAUUACGUCCCUUGACGGUAACACACCAACACUACCGUGGUACCAUCAUUCAUCAGAAGAGGAGCACUUUAACUCAAUCAGCAGGUUUGUGCGUUUUCACACAUUCUCUUCUUUUGGACUCCGCAAAUGACGAAUUAAGGCAUUGUUUGUGUGUUUCUGAAUUAAAGUUAAUUUUUUUAAAUUAAAAUAUGUACUCCAAGAUGUACUCCGUACAUUUAUUUGAAUUACAAUUAUUUAUUUGAAACAUUGAACAAUGGAGCUGUGUGCAAAAUUUUUAGCGUGCGUCGUACGCUCUCCACCAGUUUCUCAGCCACUACGCGGCGUCGAACGCGUCGCAUGCUUUGAUGCGAUUCACUGUGUUCUGCUGGCUGGCUACCUGAUGAUCAGAAGAUGGGAAUGUGUGUGAGAAAGCACUGCUCAGCAAGUCAUCAAGAAGAUGCAAUUAUCAGAGCAGGGCAUCUUGCAUCCAGCUCCCGAUCCAGCUAUAGGGCACUGCAUGAAAUUAUGUCCUUCUCUUUCACUCUUACAGAAAUUAUGUAAACAACAAGGCCAAGAAACGUCAAAAUCCCAUACUAAAUCAAAACAAUGCAGUGCCCUAUACAUUUUUAGAUGCAGUCAGCAGGGCCUACUGUGGGCUUGUCACACACCGUAUAAUGAUCUGAAUUAGUUGGAAAGUGAAAAUUGAGCUGAACCCAAAGUGGGUGGCCGUGUCUUACAGGAGACUCGACUGUAAGCAGUGCAAAACGGUAAGCGUUGUAGCAGGUCGACUCCGCUCGACAUCCUUGGAAGCCUGCUGGGUGGGAAGGUGCGAGGCGGGAAAUUAAACGCGCGCGCGUCUGUAUGAGUUUGUUUUGCAAAAAUAGCGUGAGUGCGGUGCCGACCGUCAUCAUCAUCACCGUUCGUCGUCAGUAUCGCCGUGGUCGUCGUGAUCCACGCGCCGCCACCCCACAGACUGCUUUCCAUCCUAGUAGCUAGUAGAACGGACGUCGGUACCGACGAACACUCGACCGACACCAAUACGGCGCUCGCGACGAGGCGCUUGUUUGCGACGGUCGGUGCGAAGAAGAUUGCCUGAUGGGUGGAAGCAGCAAGCGAAGCUCGCACAAGCGGCAGUCAGUGUUCUGUGCUCAUAGCCAUCCAGUCAGUCAGCUAGCAGCGACGUUCACAAAGCGCUCCCAGUAGCAACGGCGUUGGUUACACGUCACUUCAGCAGACAGUCAGUGUUCAGUGCUAGGUUGUACAGCAGGUAUUCUUCUGGGGCUAGUGAGGCACCAUCAAGUUCCAGAUUUUGGCUAGGGCAUUCGGAUAGAGAGCGCUUUCAGCUGACUACAGCGUUCGAAGGUUCGGUUGCAGGCGUAGUGCACAAACGGCAUCAGGACGUGAAGCGGUUCUGAAGUGAGCUUUGAAGAAUCGGUGGUUCGUGAGCCUACUGCGGAACGCGUAGCUAGGUAUAAUUUUAGAGUGUAGUGCAGAUGAAGUCCACUAUUAGCUACUGAUGUAAAUCAGCGGAAAGUGUGAAUUUCGGUGUGAAAGACAUAAUCAAUAAAACCGAGUGUGUCCGGAAAAAUUCUUCCAUCGUUGGUGUCCAGGGGUGAGAAAAAAAAAGUGAAGCUCUAGUGUAGUGUCGAACGGUCGACGGCAACGGGUGUGUAGCUGGGGUGCUGUGCUUCAGCAGCAGCAGAGUGUGUUUUGCUUUCUCGUGGUCGUUCGUACAUACGUAUAGCUGCCUGCCUUGCCUGCCAGUGGUGGUGUUGUGUUGUGUGUGAACUCGUUUCACAGUGAAAGAGAAGAGAAGAGCGACGUGUACACGUCGUCGGUCGUUGUACGCAUAUUAGCAAGCGUGCCAACCAGCUACUCAGUUCAUCAGUCAGUCAGCCGGUGGCCAGAAGAAGAAGGCACACACAACAACAGUAACAGGCCGAGAACAACAGCACGCGAGACGUCGACAAAGACGACGGCUGGAUAGAAACGAGGAAACACAGGAAAAAAACAUAAAACGGUAACUUUAUGCACAUUACUCUACAUACACUCAAAGUGGGAAAUAGAAGGGGGAUCCCAUCAAAGCAAUAUCUCUGUAGGGUACAGUGGAGGUUCAGAUAUUGGUGGUGAUUGAGUUUUUUUUGGACUCUGCUCAUCAUAUCACAUCCUUCUCAUUUAAUCAACAGUAUGUUCUGCGCACAGUAAUCUCUCAUGUUGAACGCGUACUUCUUGCUGACUUGCAGCUGUAGCACAUCAAGUUAACCAGUUAACGGAUUCUGUUAGCUAUUGGGUCCAUAACCUCCUCGAUAUUACAGCAAAGCUACAUAUUCCUGUACAAUCCUGUCCGAAUUGGAUGAGGUACGCUUCAAUGCUUUACACAACGUAUUUUUAUUCAAGCAGAAAGUAUAUUCUCUAUGCGUACACUCCACUGCAGCCCUCUAGAACCCGCUGAAACCUCUCGAUGCGUUUCGAUACCCCCUGAAAACAACCGUAGACUUCCUUUAUACCCUACUGAAGCCCCCUGAAACUCGCUGAUAUCCACUGAAACGCCUUAAACAUCUCCUGAGACUUCCUUACACUUAUCUUAAGCUCCAAUGAAGCCCUUGAAACCCUCUGAAACCCACUGAAUCGUAACUAUAUUAAAGCUCCUAAAGACGCUAAGAAACUUCUCGUAGAUUUCUCUGAAACGCUACUGCAGCCCUUUUAACUCCUGUAAAGCUCACCACAAACUCUGAAACCUUCCGAAAACCUCUGAAGUCCCUUCGAACCCCUAGAGCUCUUUCCGGGAGCACUCUGGAAACUCUCGGGAACCUUUUCUGCAACUCCAGAAAACGCCUUGAUCCAUUCCCUCCUUAAACUGUCAUGCAACCUUAAAACCCAUUUAAGUAAUAAACAGAUUCCAUUAGACGGGCUUGGUGGUCUAGUGGCUACCGCUUCUGAUUCAUAUGCAGAAGGUCAUGGGUUCAAUCCCUGUCCCGUCCCUUUCAUCCUACUUUGUAUCUUUCUAUCCACUUCUCUCUCUCUCUCUUCUCUAUAUAUACAACUCAUGUAUAUUCAUAUGUUCAUAGCCAUCGCUAGAACCAGAAACGAAUUGGAAAAAAGUCGUUUCCCUUCCUUCCAAUUUCCACUCACAGCACAGUGUAUAUAACGCCUACAAGUUAUGCAACCAAAGCGUGCUGUGCCGCUUGACCUUAUUCACCUCAUUCACCACACAAUCUAUCACCUUACGAACACUAUAAAUAACCCCCUAUCCAUGGAUCGCAUCACCGACCCAACGGUGACUCCCAGAUCUCCCAUCCUUUCCGUCUAACAAAUACCAAAGUCCGUGCUGGUUGUGGGAUGCAGAGGUGAUCUCGGUCUUUAGUAGCAACAACCAGCACACUCUAACAUUCCUUUCCCUUCCCAACUGACUAUAAGGACGUGGCCGGCGCCGUUAUUGAUCCAAAAUGUAUGAGCUGCUAGAAUUGCACUUUGAGAAUAAGCGGAGUGCCCCAGCCCUUAUUCAUUUGGAUCUUAGUGCAAUUGGUACCAGCUCAGAUCAAUCACGGAGUAGCAACCAUUGACAUGUAUAGUCAGAUUUGAUCGUUUUUUUGAUCGUUUUUUUUUUAAGUAAUAAACUGAUUCCAUUAUGAUUGAAGCUCUCCCGAGCAGGAAUGAAUAACUGAAGUAUUGAAAAUAACUUAUUUUGGUAUUUUUUAGGUAUUGUUAAAAUACCUCAACGAGUUAUUGGUUUGGUGUUGAGGACUGCUUCAGGUAUUAUUCAAUUAUGGAAAAAUCGCUAUUUGUAUGGAAUAACCGCCGAUUAUCAUUUAGGUAUUGUCAUACCUGAUGUCAUUAUUCGCGUGUUAUUCACAGAAUACACACCAGUUAUUAUUUUAGGUAUUUUAGCUCUUAUGCAGGGCUACUUAAUACCUUAUUCAGGUUGUAGGUAUUCGGUUUUCCAUACCUGAAUAAAGUAUUCUUCAGCUAUUUUCUCCUGCUCGGGUAUUUGUGCACCCUCGACCCAUCUACGCAAGAUCUACAAAAGAUUGAUUGUAGAGGUCGCUCUGUCCGGUGUGUUUGAGCGUCAAAGAGAAGAAAAAUGGUGCUUGUGAUCUUCGGCCGUCUUGGUCGUAGCGCAUGAAUACAGUUUUCUGCCUUUCUCGUACACUAAGUAUACUGCAAAGCCUUUAUGUUCACUCCAAAAACGAUAGAAAGCUUGGAGGAUCAUAUUACAUGUACCAAUCAGCUCAGUUCGGCGAAUUGAGAUGAUGUCUGUAUGUGUGUAUGUAUGUCUGUGCGCAAAAAUAGUUACUCACUUUUAAGGCACUUCCCAUUGGGCGAUUUAAGCACGAAUCGAACCGAAAUUUCACCGCAUUGUUUGCUGUUAUAAAUUAUAGGUAUCUGUCAAGAAGUUCCAUAGUUAUGUCCAUUUUAGUGAUCUGGGCCGGUACCGGUGGAACUGGACAUAUAGAACUGUACCAAACCCCAUCAUGCGAGACACUAAAUUCGCCCAUGGUUGACGAAUUUUGUGCAGAAAUCAUCAAUCAAAACAAGAAAAUCCGGGCCAAAAUACUCAAAAUCCAAUACGGCGGCCCACAAUUUAAAAAACGACUGGAUGUAUUUUGUAUGGGGAAGAUGCCCGGAGUUUAAAAAUAAUGACCAGAAUAUUGAUUGAUUGAUUUGUCUUUAUUAAAGAGACUUUCAGCCAACAUCCCUGGGCUUGGUUUAUAUCUUCCAGGAAGCAAUGAUUUUCGUCAUAUGACCAUUGUGCUUUGCAGUGUUGAUUGGUUGAACUGAAUGUAGAUUCAAUGGUAAAUUUUAAAAUCAGAUAAUUCAAUCCUCUGAUAUAGUGAUUCCAAUUAUACUACGGCAUAGUGUAACGGUAUGUUGUCGAAAUCUUUUAUGUACCGGGAAAAUAUAAUUCCAAGCUGGUGAGAAUAUUACCACUGAGGGGGGUUAUGAGCCCAGUCAGACCCUUGAUGGGACAAUAAUGUGGGAUAGUAUAUGGGAAUUCCAUUGAAGGUGGUAAUAAUCUCCGAGGCCUAUGAAAUCCGACAGGGCGCGUGCAUUAGGCUGCGGAUCUAUGCUAAGGGAGAUCAGUAGCAUCUGUUUGUUAUUAGUAGAACAAAAUGCCGUUCUAUGAAAACGCAGUGUGAGUGAUCUCCUAUGGUGCUGUAGUACUAUAAAUGAUCUCAUUCUCUGUGAAUUCUAACUUUGGCUAUCUAGUCAGUAAAUAGUAAAAUUAUUAAGAUAGCUUAAGAACUAAACCGUAAAGCAUACAUUUUCUAAAUAUGACAAGGUUUUGAAGACAAACAUGAGAUGAGUAUCAGAUUUUAAUCUUUUAAUGAGUCAUUAGCAUAAUCGUAUGUGAGACAUAGGGUCAUGUCGAGCAAUUGAUUCAGUACUACAAAUCCACGCGGACAAUUUCAUUACAAACUAUUAGUUUUCGUCAGUCUUAUGACGGAAAGGCUCAGCUAUGCUGCAAAUUCAUAAUUAGAGUCCGUUCAUAAACAUAUAGACCGAACCCUCAUAAAAUUUUGUCCAUGCAAAACCAAAAUUGCAUGAAGUUACAACUUCGCCUCUCCUCAUGAAGUAGGGUAUGUGUUCCAUCAUUAAUCUCACGCUCCCAUAUUCAUCCUAUUCGAAAACAAGCGAUUACGGCACCGAUUGAUUCCGUUCUUUUUGUUUUCAUGAGUGCUCACUUCUAACAAAAAAUACAAUAAAAAAAUAAGAAACAAAACAAACAGCGCUUCAAUCCUUUGUUUUUCGUAGGAUGAAAAUUGGAGUCACAUGCUUAAGAAGGGAACCAAUACCCUAUAUGUGAUUUAUGAACGAACUCCUAGUUUAAUCAAAUUAAUGGAUUUUUAUUUCUGGGGCACCCAUUGGGUAUCACUUCAAUAAUACAAAUACCGCUAACCUGAACUAGUAGCAGUAUUCAUAUAGAUUAACAAUUAUACUCUAUUAUUUUCAAUCAUUGCAACAUUAUACUAAUAUGUGCGGGCCGCCCAUUUGCGGAGCUGUGCGGCCAAUUAUUCUCUUUCCAUUCCAGAAACGACCGUUUUGAAGAAAGAAGUGUCCUAAUGGCCAACACAAACGGGACUUGUCCAAAACACACAAGAUAAGUACAACAAUUUUAUAAUCAGGCACCCAACUCUUUCUACUACUUUGCUAAUAGAUAAUGCAAUAUGCAUACUUCAAUAUCAAUUAUUUGUUUGUUUGCGCCUUUAUUUAUGACACUAUUGAAGCAUUCGUGUCGCCGCAAAAUAGUUUACAAUUUAUCUUAUUCACAUUUUUCAAUUCACUUUAAAGAAUCUAACACUGCUUUUACAAUUGUGUAUGUAAACUUGUAUCUUAAUUAUGUUCAUUAUUAAUAGUAGUCUGAUAAUCCAAGUCUAGUGAUUUUUUCCCAAGGAAUAGAAAGAGUUGGUGUCAUAAUCAAUACAAUACUUGAAACUGGAAACUCCUUAUUUCCCCCUAUGGGUUAUAGGGAGGGGCGGGACAUUCGUGCCUACUCAUCAGUGGAAAGGACUUGAUAUGCUAAUCGGUUUAGCAUAGGGCAGAUACAAGUCUACUGGUAGACGUAUCGCCCAGCGAAACAACGCAGAUUGGUCACGGCCCGGGGGUGCGUUGAUUAUAACAGAAUAACAGAACAGAAUAACAGAAUAACAGAAUUAAAGAGACUUUCAGCCAACAUGACCAGAAUAUAUGGCGGCCCAAUAUCCAAUAUACGGCCUAAAAUUCAAUAUGGCGGAUGUCUUAAGGAGGCUCCUUCAGAGAUUUGUUUAGAGAUAUGCUUGGAAAUCUUUUUAGAACUCGUUCCGAAAUUCCUCUGAAGAUUUCACCUAAAAUACUAUCCAAAAUUCUUUCUUAAAUUGCUUAUAGGAUUCUUGGAUUUCUGCCACAAUUCCUUCUUCGAAUUCUUACGUAGCCUACUACUGAGUUCUACCUGUGAGUUCUCUUGGAAUUCUUCCUUGAAUUCCUGGGGAUUUGUUAGUUCCUUCGAGGAUUUGUCCAAGAAUUUCUUUUAAAGGUGCCUUAGACUGUUUGUCAUUAUGACAAAUAUUUGCCAUUGAAGUCCGACAUUUAUCCAAGGUUGCUAUGAUUCAGUCCCGUUGGUCAUUUGUUGGGCUUGCUUGGCCAAAUAUUUGUCACGUCUAAUAGGACCAAGGUGUGGUAGUCUAGACUUGCCGAGUAGCUGGUGGAUGUAACAUUGCAAGUAAUCGGUUGACCUGUCAAUGGAAGAACACGAAACCCAUCACACAAGGUUUUUCCCCAAUUGGCUCCCAGAGUUCUUUCCGGAUUAAGAGACUUCUGAGAGUUCUUUUUGGAAUUUGUACCAGAUUUCCUUGGAGAUUUUCUGCAGGUGUUUGAGGGGGUUCCCCAGGAAUUCUUACCGAGGUGCUCGAGAAAUUCUUUCUGGUGACAAUAUGCUUCCAAAGUUACUUCGGGAGUUUCUCUUUGUGGUUUUCGGGCAAACUUUCCAACAGUUUCUUCAUGAAGUUUUUCGAUGCUUCUCUGGCACUUCUUGCAGGGAUUUCUCCCAAAGAAUUUUCCGGGCUCGUUUAGGAGUUUCUCACCGGAUUUCUCUCAAAGGUUUCCAUAGUUCUUCUCGGAGUUCCCCUACAUUUCAACUCAAGCUUACUGCGUUACAUAUUUCUAAGAUGUACAAUUUUUCCGCUGAAUUUCUUGCGAAAUUCCUCUUGUUAUUUCUGCAAUAGUUCUUCGCCUUGUUCCUCGGUUCUCGCGCGUCCCAGCAGGAUUUUUUCCGAUGUGUCCCGGCAAUUUCUUACAAGGAAUUUCUAGGAAAUAGUUUAGAUUCUAGAAAAUGGUUGCGUUCAUAGAUGAGAGAAAGAGGAGGCCUGGGAAGAUCUAAGAAAGGACGGGCAAAUGAAGGAACUAGGGAUUAAUAAGUGGAAGCAAUAGAGCGUCGUAGAGAUGAUUUUACAUGGGUUCCUGAUGGUUUCUGAGGGUCAUAAGUUCUAUGGAACCCCCCAUCAGAUUUCAGAGGGUUCCAGAGGAGUCUUAAAGAUGUUUCAAGGUGUAAUGGGAAGUUUUUGGCGUUUAACCCCCGUUGAGUUUGAGGACGUUUAAAGGAAUUGUGGUGUGUUUUUGUGGGUUCAGAGAGUUUCUGGUAAUUUUCAGAGAUAACCCAGGCGACAUCAAGCCUCCAGGAUGUUUACAAGGGCAUUUAGCAUAUAGCAUUCCAGGAUGUUUAGGGGGGGAUUAUAGGGUAUCAGGGCUAGCAUCAGGGACUUCCAGGGGUGUUCCAGGAGUCUCAGAUAGUUCCAGGGGGUUUUCCGGGGCGUUUAAGAUGGUCUUAGUUUCGUUUUAGGGGUUCUCAAGAAAAUUCACUCACAAAAACCAGCAAUUCAGUAGUUCUCUAGGGUGAUUAAGAAGUUCUCAGGGUGGUUUCAGGGGUGUUUCAGUGGAUUUCAGGGAUCUCAGGGGCUUCGGGGUUUCAGGGGUGUUUUAGGGGGUCUCAUGAUUCAGGGGGUUUUCUGAAGAAUUCAGAAGGUUUCCAGGAGUGCCUGGGAUGUUUUCUGGAUGGGGAUUUUGGGAAGAACACUUACAGUAAUCCUGGAAAAAAUCUCUGAGAGAAAUCUCAGAACGAUAACAGCUAGAAGUAUGUUUCGUAAACAACUAUGAGGAAAAGCCUAGAAAAACAGAAAGAAAUCGCAGGAUAAACUCCUUGAGAAAUAUUAACAAUAACUCAUGUAAGAAUCACAAGACGAUUUCUGAAUGAACCUCAGAAGAAUUCUGUUGAUCUACUAUCCCUUCUCAAAGCGUGACGUAAUUCAUAGACGUUCCCUCUUCAGAUGUCUCUUCAGGAUUUCCUUCAUAAAGUAAUACAAGGAUUCGUUCAGGAAUUCAUCGCUUCCGUCAAUAGCACAUUCAGAAAAUCUUCAGUAUAUUUAACCAAGCAGGUAUUCCUACAGAGAUUCCUCCAGGAGUUCCUCCGUGUAUGCCUUCAUGUAUUUUCUCGGAAAUUCUUCCAGGAUUUGUUCCAAAGAUGCCUUGAGGAAUUGCUCUAGAAAUUCACUAGAAACUACUACUGUUUUUUUUUUGGAAUAUGUCAUGAGAUUUUUCUGUUAUACUAUUAGAAGUUUAAGUUAAAGUGCUUCUCUAGACAUUAUUACAAGAUCCUCAUAAAAAAGCUUUCACGACUGUAGUAUCCCAGUAGCACGAACAGAUUCAGAUCUAGAUAGCCUUGAAUAACUGUAGUUAUAGAUGACAGCUAAUUAAUAUUCAUUACCAUUCAAACCACCAAACGAUCAAGUCUAGUUUCUACAACGACUUCAUCCAUGUAUUCUUUCAGAAAAGCCAUGAAGUUUGUUAAUGGCUUCAUCGAGGAUUUUUUUCUAAAUAUUUCCUAAUAAAUUCCUAAAGCAAUUCCACCAACGGCUUGUCAAGAUUUUUUUCCAGGUUUUACUCAAGGGAUUCCAUCAGGAACACCUACUAGGAUAUUUUCGGGAAUUUCUCUGGGAUUCUUCCAGAUGUUCCUCCUGGGAUUUGUUUAAAGAAUAAUUCCAGAGAUUUCUAGAGAAAUUAGACAAAAGAUUUAUUCACAAAAUUUCUUCAAGGAUUAUUUCAGCAGUUCCUCCACGGAUUCUUUCUGAAACUUCUUCAGGAAUUUAUUCAGAAAUAUUUCCAGAAACUCCUUCAGUAAUUUAAGGAUGUUUUCAUAAAUGUCAGUAUGGAAUUUCAUCAAAAAUUCUUCCACGGAUUUCUUUUUUUCAGAAAUUCAUCUCUUUUUUCAAAAAAAAAAUAUCGGUGAUUUUUCCGUGGGCUCCUCCAGGAAUUUCUUGGAACAUUUUGUUAGAGGUUACUGAAGAAAUUUUUAGUAGGUUUGUGUUUUGGUUCUACACCUGCGAUCCCUUUAGAAAUAUAUCCUGAGAUCGCUUGAAUGAUUCCUUCAUGAAUUCUUUCUAAUAUUUCUUCACGGAUUUUGCAGAAAUAUUUCCAUGAAAUUUCAAGUACUGGAAAAAAAUUCCAAGAAUUUGCGGAAGGAAUUUCUAAAGCUAUACCUGUAGAUGCUUCUGAAGAUUCCAAGAAACUUUUUUAAACAUCCCCUAAAGAGAUUCCUGAACAAAUUCUCUGAAGCAAUUUCUCAAGCAAUCAAUGGAGGAACUUUUGAAGGAAUCUCUAGGAAAUACCUGGAGACCUCUGGAGAUAUUGCUAGGAAAAUUUUAUGAGAAACAAAAAUCUGAUGUAAUCUUUAGAGAAAUCUCUGUUCUUGAGGAGCUCCUCGGGAAAACCAAGAGGAAUCUAGGAUAGCUCUGGAGGAAUUUUAAGAAUAAUUUUAUGAAAAUCUUUUGGAACCAUUCAAGCAAAAAUAUCUGAAGGAGUUUCUGAAAAACAUCCCUGAGGAGAUUUCUGGAGAACACUUGAGGAAUCACUGAAGUAAACCUGGAAAAAGAAUUGAAGGAAUCCUUAAAGUAAUUUCUUUAGGAAUCCGAGCAGAAACUGCUGACAAAUGUAUAAGGAGAGUUCUUGAAUAAAUCCCUAAAUAAAAUUCUGACACGAUUCUUGGAGGAUGUUCUGCAGUAUACCGGAAGAUAUUUCUGAAGGAGUUCUUAUAAGAAUUUCUGGCAAAAUAUUCAAAGGUAUAAGUGGACAACAAUCUUUGAAACAUUGUCUUAAAUAAUUACUAGAGGAUUUCUUUGGAGGAAAUCCAGAAGAAAUUUAAACUUACUUUCCUUUAGAAACAACCCGCUGGCGUAGUGCACGGUUUGGGUCAAAAAUGACCAUAAUGCACAAGAAAGUUAAGAUUUUGUAAACGAAUAACUAAAAUAUAUUUCUUAAGAAAUUUAACUUUUCAAAGAUAUCUCAUAAGAAAUACCUGGAAAUCUGAAGAAUGCCCUGCAGAGAUUCCAUGAAGAAUUUCUAGAGAUAUUUUUAGAGAAAGGCCAACAAAUAAUUCCGGAAGUGAUUUCAGAAAGAAUCCCUGGAAGAAUCUCUGAAGGGAUUCCUAAAGGGUCGCCGGAAAAAUUUCUGAAGGAAUCCCUGAAGAGAGGUCUCAAUGAAUCCCAAGAAAAAUCCCAUAGAAAAACUUCUUAAAGAACUUCUAGAAGAACUGAAGGAAUUUCUAAAUAAAACGGGUGAGAGAAUCUCCGGAGAUAUUCCAGAAACGACCCUCUCGAGUAACUAAAAAAAAUCCAGAAAGCAUUCCUGCAAAAAAAAUCUGAACUUCUGAAGGGCUCGCUGGAAAAAUUUCGGGAUGAAUACACUCGAAGGAACCUCUGGAGAAUAUCCUGCAAGAAUCUUUUGAGGAAUUACUGAAAAAUAACUGGAGGAGUUAUCUUUGAUCAAACUCCUAAAGCAUUCGCCAGCGGAACUCCUCUACAAUCAGUUGAGAAGUUUAUGCAAGAAUACCUUUUUUUUUUUGAGGAGUGUCUGGGGUGUUUUCUGUGUAGGAAUUCUGAGAAGAGUACUGGGAGUAAUUCUGGCAAAAAAAACUUUGAGAGAAAUCUCAAGACGAUCACAGCAAGAAGUCUCUUAACAAACUACGAGGAAAAGCCUGGAAAACAGAAAGAAAUUGUGGGAAAAGCUCCUUGGGAAAUAUUAUUGUUAAUAUUAGAAAUCCCAAAAGGAUUUCUGAAUGAACCCCAGAAGAAAUCUUGGUGAAAAUUCAGGAUAAGUUCUUCAAAAUUCUGAGAGAAACACUGGAAGAAAUCUUCUAAGAUAAAUUCCGAGAGAAAUUCCUUUGGAAAUCUAGAACUAGAGACGAACCAGCCAAAGGCUGAAAGUCUCUUUAAUAAAGACAAAUCAAUCAAUCAAUCAAUCAAGUAGAACUUCAAGAAAAAUCUUGCAAAAACUAUCCCAGGAGAAGCUCUUGAUGAAAACUUACGAUAAUUUAUUAAAGAACUCCGAAAGAAAGCCAGUUGAAAUCCACGAAAAUCUCUGCAGGAAACUAAUGAAAAACUCCUGAACAAUCCUGGGAAGAACAUUAGGCAUAGUCAUAAGAAUAACUAUUUUAAAAAUUCUGAGAGUAAUGGUUUUAAAAAUUCUGGGAGAAAUCCCGGGAAUUAAUCUAGGAAACACCUGAUAAAUAUACUGGAAGAAACUCCUGUAGAAUUCCCAAGAUAAACCCAUCCCAUUCCAAUAUAACUAUGAAAGAAAUCCAUCCAAAUCCCUGCGAGAAACUUCAGGAGAAAUUAGUCGGAAAUCGGGAACUCUUCUUACGGAGACAUUCCGGAAAAAAUUUCUGGAAUCUUGGGAAUAUGCAUAAAGGAAUUUAAUUUGAAACACCAAGACAAAAUGUCAUGAAAAGGAAGAAAUCUUCUGAGAAAUUCUGGAAGCAUUUCAAGAUGUGUCUCUAAAGUAAUUCUGGUUGCACACAAUAGCGCCUUUUAGAUUUUAACUUGCAUCACAAUAUUAAAUUGGCAUCCCUGAGUAAUACGAAACUUGAUGUAUACUUGUAUAUACACGAAUAGACGUUAGGUAGCAUUGCAAAGGAGGAGAUGUGUUAACUACGGAAUCAACUAUUUCCUGGAAAUGUUCCAUCGAAUUUUUGAGUAGUGUUUUUAAUGUGAAUUAUUGUUAAACUAAUAAACGUUUUCAUGCAGCUUUGUAGCUGAUCGUCGACAGUUAUGCUGUCUUUCAAUCCGUUGGAAGAGUCAGUCCACUCCUGCAAUCGCAACAAUCAGAAUUCUUGAUAGAAUUUCUGAAGAAAGUCUUGCGGAAGAAUUUCUGUGUGGUUAAAGUUUGGCUCCCAGAUUCAUUAGCGUGCAUUCAACCUCUUAACGAAAUCGUGGGCUUGCCAGAAAUGUCUGCUUGAUUUAGCAACCUUGUUCCGUUCCUCUGGUUUGUACAUCGAGAUUUUUUUUUCAGGAUUCAAUUAGGCUAUCAAAUAAUAUCUUCCUCGGUGCAAUAAACCGAGAACAAUUAAUUAUAAUGUGAUCAAUGUCUUCAUACGAUAAGCCACAUUCGCAUAAGUUUGAAUCUUCAACAUGCUUUCCGAAUAAUCAUCCGGAGAAAUCUGCAUCUACGAACCACAUGCUUCCAGCUAGAAUGUUUAAUAGAUUUGUUUUCACAGAAAAUACUACAUCUUCGAAAACUUUUUUAUUCAUACAAACUAGUCUAGUCCAGUCAUGCAUUGAAAGAACCCUGUAAAAUGAAGGAAUCGAUUGCUUCUAUCAUUUUUCUUGUUAUUAUCAAUGCUUGCAGCACAUCGGAGAUGUAAUACAAUAAUUGAAGCAGCCAGGCCUACUGUGCGUUGAGAGUGACUUUGCUCAGAAAAUUUAUGUCACUCAGUCGAGGCUCUUCUUCCUGGGAUGGGACAAAGGACUUCCUCAGUAUAUACAUAUAAUGAAAGUGUAUAAUACAUAGAAAACUGUAUAGAAAAUAUCCCAAAAUAUGUUAACUGAACUAAAUAGUUUUAGAAAAUCAGGUAAAUUAUUAUAUUACGAUGAUCGUUAACUCUUUUCUAACCCCAAGAGGCAGAUGAUUCAGGUUGCCCCAAGUUCUCUUACUGCAAAACAAACUGCUUCCCCCCAACCAAGGUGUCACGAAGAAACCGACGACGACGACGACCCCAGAAGUGCGAAGAAGGGGAACCUGUCUGAGACUAACGGUUUUCAUUCUCUCGUCGAUGGUCGCGCGAGAGUUGAAAAACAACCACCUCGUCUCGUCCGGUUGCAUUGUUCCACGACUAGUGCGUUCUGAAUACAUAUUUACGCGAGGGUCGGGUCUGCACUGCACGUUGGCUGCUAGCUCCCACACACUCCAACACUCUCACCUUUCCAGGCCACUUGUAUAGCAACCGGUGCGCAAAAGUCGCCCAUGACAUACAUGGAAGCGUCAUGUCUCCGUGAUUUUUUUUUUUUUGCCAACACGCGUGCCGCCACCCCCGACCCGACCGACCGACCGACCGACUGCUUUGAGUUUUGGGAGAAAGGGGGACGAGCAUCACUUUCUUUGUUUGUCAUACGGUGCCGUUCGGUUUCGACGAAAAGGUUUAUCAUCUGCUGCUGGCUGGAGUUUCCAAAAAUUACAACCACUUGGAAACUCAGUCAGUAUAACUGAGCUCGGUACGUUGUAGUGUCAUCAUCGGGGAACGAACGCAUCACACUCAAAACCUCAGCCAGACUGGAAACCUGUGUAGUUGUAUCUGAUUACACUCUGGGUAGUUUAUAUAAACUGUACUGGUCAAAUGUAUACUGGAAUUUCACUGUUGGACACUUUGGACGACCCAGAACACCCUUGAUUCUAAUACAUAGCAUCUGUUGAUCUUCCUUGACUUUAACCCAAAAGCGCCAUAAGUCCUGUAAUAGCUAUAUGUAUCAAGUAUUUUGCCGGUCUUCAGAACAUCUCAAGUCCAUUGGACUUGAAGUUCCUCCUUGAGUCCUUUGAGGAGGCAGACCUUGUGUUCUAAACUUCUGAACAGUUUGGAUAAUCAAGAACAUCGUACAACUUCCUAAGCACAAUAUACAGUUUUUAAAGUUUACAAAUAAGUCACUGCUUGUAACUCUAUAUAGUGAAUAGCUGUGUAAUAAUACAACGGAGUACCCUUCGUUCCAAACUCAUGGGCGAUUUUAGACGAUCUAGAACAUCGCAUAACUUCAGUAAAAUGUUUUAGCCACCUGACACGCCACUGUGGGUGUGGUGGGGUCAUCAUCUGUGCUUGUCUGCGAAGUGGGAGUAUAGGAGGACACCCCGUGCACGUCAAGCCAGAGAAUGCCGUCUUUCCAGCAUAGGUAACAGAAUGGCACGACGGCAAGGAUGGGGCGCAACGACAAGGCAAGAUCAACGACCGCUCGCGCGCGCGGGAUAGGGCUUAUUCUCGGUCUCGGGCUGACACCAACCCACUAGGAGCGGAAUUUCGUCCACGGGGUAGAGAAGGGUACUACACACAUAUUCUUUCUGCGUGUUGGUUCGAGGCAAUAUGUGUGCUUGAGUAGGGGAAUCAGUUUGUGCUCUUCCUCUCACUUUCUCUCUAGGUUGGUGGAUUGUGUUGUUCUACUACUACACAAAUGUGCAUGUUCUUGUCAGUUCAAGCAUGCUUUCCAUGUUUUUAUGUUCAAUUAUUUGGUGUUGGUGUAUGGCAGUAGAUUUAAUAGAAUUUCUGGUUUUGCAACAACAUUUAGCUGAAGUGCAUUUUGAAAUAACUAUUUCGGGAUAUGAUUACGAAAUAACGUUUCGGGAUAUGAUUACAAAAGAAAUGUAUGUAGAUGAUAUCCACAUCUGUUCACUUUGAUAACUUUACCAAAAGUUUCUUCUGAAGUUCAAUGGUGGAAUUCAUGCUGGAAUCAUUGGAUUAAAUGAUCUCAGGAGGAAUUCCAUCAAAACGAUCCAGUGGAAUACUUGAUGAAAAUUUUGGAGAUAUUUCAACAAGAAUUUCCAAUCGAAUUAAUAAAGUAACACAUGCAGAAAUUCCUGGACUAGUUCUUGGAGCAGUUCAUUAAGAAAUGUCUGAUGGAGUACCUGUAUGAAUUUGUAAAGUAUCACUGGAAAAAAUAUUGAAAGAUUUUUUAAGGAAUCCCUGAAUUAGUUUCUUAAGGAAUCUUUGGGAGAUUUCGAUAAACUCCUAGUGGAAUUUUAGCAGAAUUAUAUGGAGCAUUCCCUAGUAGGCUGAAAGGCUAAAACUAUAGAAUUGUAACAUAAGGCUGAAAUCACAAAAGGCUGGAAGUACAUAAACCUAUGAAAUGAAUUAUAAGUUUGGGUUUAGUAAACAGAAUAAUGAUGUAUACCAAAAUUAUAAAUCCUCUCCUUCUUGGCGUAACGUCUCAACUAGAACAAAGUCCGCUUCUCAGAUAAGUGUUCUAUGACUAUUUCUAUAGUUAUUAACUGAGAACUUCCUUUGCCAAUGACUGUCUUUCUGAAUUCACGCGCACUUACUGCUUUGGUAAUUGACUCACACAAUUACACAAAAUGUGUCAAUAAAGCAUUCCAUGGACUUGAUAUAAGCUUGAGAACGGCUGUUUUUGAAUUGACGGCGUCGAAUUAUCUUUUCAGCCUUUUGAUAUUUUCCACCUUUCGAGUUUCAGCCUUUUGUUAUUUCAGACUUUUGUACGUAUCCCCCCAAGUAACAAUUCCGUUGCUGAUUGGUUUUGUUUGAUUUUUAUUAAGGUUUCAUUACAGUAAUAAUUUAAACUCACAGUUUUAUGACUACUUUUAUCAGAGGCGUCUCGUGGCCAUCAGACUGACCUGUUCUACAGAUUACAAUUGUAUUAAAUGAAAAUACGUUGGUUUUGGGGUGUUUGAUACUAGCCUUGCUCAGAUUGUUCAUACUAUCUUUGCUAGUUUUUUUCGUUUUCAAUGUUGUGAAUUUCAUCAUAAGGAAAUUUUGCAAAAUUACCAUUUUCUGAAAAAUAUCUCCUGGAUCUUUAUUCUAAAUAUUCCUUUUCAUUUUUCUGUAAACACCUUCUCAGUAUACAAAGGUUUUAAUUCAACAUCAAUUUAGCCAUAAUGAGAACAUCUUCGAAUAAUCUUCUAAAGAUUGGAUCAAAUCUGAUGUUAGAUAUGUUUCUUCAUAUAAAUAUAAUUUGCUUUAUGUGAAUCUUUACAGAGAUUUGAAUAGAAACUAAUUAUUUGCUUAGUUCUGUUCAUAGUGCCUAUUGUUGCGUGGAUUAUUUCCCGACACAACUGCUAAUUCAGUAACAAAUUUUGAAAACGACGUAUAAUCAAUGGUGUAGCAUUGAUUAUACGUCGUUUUCAAAAUGUGUUACUGAAUUGAUAUCUGUUACAUUGAAUCAUGUCCAAGCUCAUUUUUUUCGGUAAAUGUUCGAAAUUUUAGCCUCACAUGCACCCUACCCAGCGCAUGCUGGUUGUAAUACAUCGGGGGUGCCUCUGGCGUUCUAGCUCCGCAAGUUGUUCUCAAGCAACGUUGAACGACAAACAGCGAAGCCACAGUUCUUGCUCUAGCUUCGAUACACACAUGUAAACUUUUCAUUGCAGAAGAUCUUCUUGUUUACAUGUGAGAUUUUGGCAUUUAUCGCCUCCGGCUCUAAAAAGCAUGGUAACAACCAUUCACACAAACUUGACGACCUUGUUGGCAAGCAAAGUUCAAAAAGUAAUUGAAUAUCAUGAAAAUAAUGUUUGAUAUAUUAUUUUCAUUUGCAUAUUUUUGUUGCGGAUAUUGUUAUUUCACAACAACAAUAAAACAUACCAUUUUUGGCACCCUUAAGCAUUAAUCGUUUUACUUAUCGAAUUAAAGUUUUAGUCGAUUGCGCUUAGCGUGCGUGUACGUGUGAGAGAGAAAGCGGGCAGUGAAAAAAAAUGCUACGAGACGCCGACCACGCUGCAGCUGGUUCUAGACGAGUGGAGAACGUAUGGGCGACAGAGUAGAGGGAAAUGAAUUCGAAUGAACACUGCCUUUUGGAGGUAAAAAAGUCUGGCCAAACAUGUCUAAAGGUCCUAUCUGCAGAAGAGAGGCUCUCUUCGGUUUCCCUCUCUUUCGUUAAUAUCUCAGCUGUUUAUUUGUAUUAUGAUUGUCUCCUUGCAUUGAACGAUGGUCAAAACAAUCGUAUUUUGAUUUGUACUGCAAAAAUAGUUGAAAAGUGUACCAUUACAUUGCAAUAAUUGAAAGAGAAAGUGAACAAAGAGAGCCUCUCAAAUGCAGAUAGGACCUAUUGAAAUGUUUGGCCUGAAGUAAAGAAACUGUUGGUUUGGCAACAAUGCUUGUCGUUCGCAUGAAUCGUGGAACUGGUGGCUGUGGCAAGCAUGGCUUCGAAGAAUCAAGCAAGAGAGAGCUGCGCCGAACUGGUUCUCGCAUGCUCGCGUUGCUUGGUUUGUUUCUGCUGCUGGCUGGUGUGGUAAUCUUCUAGAGAAGCAUGUGUUGUAUUCCGUUCUCCAUGAACAGGGAACGAUGUUUGCGUUUUGUGCACAAGCUAAUAAUCGGGUAGGGAAUCGCGCCACUUGGGCGGUGGCUUCUAUAUUCGUCUGUUUUCCACUAUAACUCAGUCAAAUUUGAACCAAUUGACACAACUUUUGGAAUGUGGUGAGAUAGGUAUAGUAUCUACCCGUGUACAACAUUUCAAGUCAAUUGGUUCAAAAUUGACUGAGUUAUAGUGGAAAACAGACGAAUAUAGAAGCCACCGCCCAAGUGGCGCGAUACCCUAUGUGCAGUGCGGGUUUUAAAUUGAGUUUAUGCUUUUGGGAUAACAAUUAUUUGAAUUAAUUGACCCAAAAUAAUUCUCAGCCUACCCGUUCCAGGAACAGGUCGAACAUGUGGAGGAGGCGCCUCUGACUUUUAUGAAAACCAUUGAUUAAAUGUUUUGUAGUAUACUUAAAGAUAUCAAUAAAACCAGAUUUUAAGAGUAAACAAAACUCUCCGAUAUGUAAUCCUUCUGGAAUUCAUAAUUACAACGAUAUGUAAAACUGUUUAAACUCGUAACAGAUGGCUAUUCGUUCGAUUAGUAACGACAUCUGUUGGUGGAAAAUCAGAAACUACGACAUUGCUGGGUUUAUUGCGGUCAUCAUGAAAGUAAACUUGCUUUCGUUUUAUUUCCGCUUGUUAUAGUCGUCGCCAUAUUGAAGAAUUAGAUAACGUGAAUGGAAAAUAGUUAAAAUUUUGCUCAAAUUAGCAAUGAAUUGGUGGUUUGCCGUAAUUUCCAUAACAUGCUCACAUAAAUAAACUCUCUCAGCUGAGUUUUCUUGUAAUUCGAGAUAGUUCUACUAAAUUAACAAAUUGAUUUAUUUUAUUCCUAGAUGAUUAUAUUCAUUAUUUUCGAAGCGCAUCAAUUUUAUGUUUCUGCAACCCCAAUAUUCACGGUAAAAUUGAAUGCGCAUAAGCCUAGCAACACAAUAAGUACUAAAAUAUUACUUUGAAAUGAUCGAUUUCUACUUGCGAAUGAUGUCUCCUCCUGAACAUUAUGUGCCAAGCCAUUGAACAAGCUUCUCUGCAUUUUGAGCUGUCAUAUUUUUUGUUAAAAAAACAACAACAAUCAUCAUAACCUCUUUUCGAGUACGGAUAUUUUUUCAACUAGGUUUUAAAACAGUUUUAUUGCUACUCCUAAUACGGUUUGCAAAACCUCUCCGUAAGUGGUCCACUUAGCCGGAAGAUGCUCUUAAAGAGGUUAUCAAGAGGUUUUGAUGUAUAAAUUAGUUUUAUUGCAAGUUUUAUAAUAUUUGUCAUGAAGAUCUCUUAUAGAACUGAACAAACCGUAAAAAAUUACUUGGGCCCUCUUGUAAGCACGGAACGAUUUCUGAAGGUAUCAAAAGAAGAGUUUCUAAGCGAUGUGAUAGAUAGCAAACUUUGGUUGAAUUUCUGAAGACAUCCAUAGAAGAUUUUCUGAAAAAAAAAUCCCUGGAAGAAUUUCUGAAGAAGUUCUUUGGAUUUCUAAAAAAAUUACUCAGAAAAUCUAUUGAAGAGUUUCUAGGUAUUUAUAUCUUUAAAGAUAUUAUUGCAGAAAUCUCUAGAAGAAUUCCACAGAAAACUUGGGAACUCUGAAGAAAUUGUGGACGAUUAUUCAAUAAAAUUGUUGGAAAAAUAUCGGAAGGAAUCCUUUGACUAAUAAACUCCUAGAUAACUGUCUGAAAGCUUCCCUGGAAGAAUUUUCGAAGGAAUUUUUAAAUUCCUUCGAGAAAUUUCUAGAAAAAUCUCCAUAGUUUUUUUUUUAAAUUCUCCUUCAAGGGUUCUUGUGAGAGAAUUUCUAGAGGAAUUCUCAGAGAACUUUUCAAAGAAAUCCCUUGAAGAAUUUCUGAAAUUUAAUGAUUUUUUGGAAGAUUUUUCGAAGGAAAACCAUCAUGAAAUUCUGAAGAAAUACCUAGUAAUUCUUUGAUAUUAAAAUUGUUUGAGGAAAUAGAAACAAUAAAAACUCACUGGAAGUUUUUUGGGGUGAAAAUAAUAAAUAUUCAUAAUAAUCUAGUGAAACCCGUUUUUUUUUUAGAGAAUACACAAGAACGUUAAAACACAUGAUCAAUCUUAGAUAUUGUAAAUAAUGAAAUCUUGAUAAAAUUCAAGAAAAUAAUAGCAUUUUCCUUGACGGGGGCCAACCAGGAGUUCCAGCCGUGGUUUCUGCAGAAACUCCUUCCAGGAAUUCUGUAUUCCUUCCGGAAUUCUUCCAAAAUAUCCUCCCGAGAUUCUUCCAGAAGUUACUUCCGAGAUUCCUGCAGGACUUCCUUCUGAGAUUUUUUUGUAGAAGUCAAAAGAUUCCUUCUGAUUUUUUUGCUGGGAUUCCCAGAAUGCAUUUCCAGAUAGAAAUAUUGGCAUGACUAUUUUUGAAAAGCCAGAAGAAACUCUUAGAGAAAUUUCUAACAAAUCAAAAUUAUGGUGUAGACAUUCAUAACAAAACAAAGUUUUGGUGAAUGAAUUAUUUAUGAAAUUGCCGGAGGAAUUUCUCAAGCGUGGUUGUUCUGAGGGAAUUUAAUAAAAAUGUGAAAAUUUAAUAAACUCAUAGAAAAUUUUCACACGGAACACCUGGAGCAAUUUCAUUAGAAAUUCCACAAAAAACACCUGAAGGAAUAUUGUAAUAAACUCCUGAUAAUUCCUAAUGGAGGAUAAACUUUAGGGAAAUAGCAUAGCAUAGCAUAGCAUAGCAUGAAUACUUGCACAAAUCUUGGAUGGAGUUGCAAAGUUGAAUAUUUCCAUUGACAUUGCUGAUGUCGCUACUAUCUACAAUGUCAUAGAUUCACUCAGCUCCACACACCUGGCCAAGUCCUUGCAAGCAUUUAUAAAUCCCUUCAUCAACUUAGAAAGAGCCCAGAACUGAAGCAGCUUCCAAUAGAUGAAAGGAUGUUGAAAAUAGCGAAUUUUCAACUUAUAUGCAGUUAUAUAGCAAAUAUAUACUGAAGUAUAAUUAUUUACAAAUAAAUAAUAUUGAAAAAAGAUCUCAUCAAUUGUUGUGUGGUAUUUGUAGUUCAAUGCCGAUCAUCUAAUUAUCUUGAUUAAUGUUUUUCUUUACAAAGAACAACACAAUACUGAACACCAAACACCCGCGCAUCUAUUGUUUUGAUUUUCACGCGAGACAAUAGCGAACGCGAUCGACUAUGCUGCCAUACACAUCCCUUACAGGAGCGAUGCAUGCACAGCAAAGAACAACACAAUACUCGGAGGAUAAACUUUAGGGAAAUGUGAGAAAAUUCCAGAAUGAACUUCUGGAGAUAUUCAAGAAGAAUCUGCAGAAAUUGCAGAAGGAACUUCUGGAGCUAUCGGAGAAAGAAUUUCUUGAUGAAUUCAAUGUUUUCUCCAUUGUGCUCCAUUGUGCUUCUCCCAGAGUUGUUUUUAAGAUUCCUUUUUAGAUUCCACUAGGUGUUUCUUUUGUAAUUAUUCUAGAAGUUUCUUCUGGGACUUCUCAAGUAGUUUCGCUAGUGAUUCCUCCUAUUGAGGAUUCUUCUGAGAUUCUGAAGGUUACUCCUCAGGGUUCUUUCACGAGUUCCUCCCAGAUUUCCGUCUGGGAAUCUUCCAGGAGUUUCUUCUAAAAAAAGCCAGCAGUUCCUUCUAGGAUUUAUUCAAGUGACCUUUUUGGAAUUCCUCAAAGUAUCUGUUUGAGGAUUCCUUCUACUGAGAUUUACCCAGGAUCUCGUUUUGGGAAUCCUGCAGGAGUUUUUUUUCACCGGUUGUUCCUGAAGUUCUUUCUGGGUUUCUCCAGGAAGAACUCUCAGAGAUUAACAAGGAGUUCCUUUCUAAGAUCUAUCCAGGAAUUCUUCCUAAGAUUCGUCCAGUAUUUUCAUCUGCAGUUAAUCCAGGAGCUCCAUCUAGAAUUCUUCCAGGAGUUCUUUUGGAAGAAUCCUAACCUAAAUUAUUCUAGACGUGCCUUCUGGAAAUCCUCUAUCUCUAGCAGUUGUUUCUGGGAUUUAUGCAGGAACUCAUUUCAGGAUUAUUCCUGGAACUUCUUGCGGGAUGUAUCCAGGACGUCUUCAUAGCAACUCCCCCAGAAGGGCCUCCCGAAAACUUUUUGGUGUUCCUCCAGGAUUAUCUUAUGAGAUUACACCAGGUGUUCUUUCUGGAAUUCCUCCAGGAAUUUCAACCGGGAUUUCUUCUGAGAUUUCUUUAAAAGUUCUUUCCGAUAUUACUUCAAGAUUUCUUUUUCAUGAUUCUUCGAUUGGGUUGCCUUGGCAGUUUUAUACAAACAUUCGGUAAACUGCAAUUUUCUCGCUUUGACGUUUAGGUCGUGGUUUGUUUUUUAGUUCGUUUGAGCGGGAAAAUUGAUUAAUAUUUGUAUAGGACUGUCGAGCCUAUAUAACGAAUGUGCCAGUUCAAAUUUCAUUCAAUUACUUUCAUUACUCCUUCAGAUUUUUUCCGGUAUUUCUAGGACCGUUCCAAAACUUCCACCUGUGAUUUUCCAGGAAUUCUUUCAGAGAUUUUAUCCAGAGAUUCCUAGAGAAAUUACUCAUGGGAUUCUCCAGGAGUUUUCCUGUAGGAAUUCUAGCUAGGAUUUCGCAAGCAACUCCUGAUGCAAUUCUUUUCGCAAUUUCUUCUAGAAUUGCUCCAGAAAUUCUAACUGUGGUACUUCAGGAAUUCCACUAGGGAUUCCUCUAGAGUCUAGAAAUUUCUUCAUGCAUUAUUGCUGGGUUCCUCCGGGCAAUCCUCCUGGGAUUUUUCAAUGGAUUUUGCAAUGAUUUAUUCAACUUUUAUCCAGGAUUUCCUCCAGAAAUUCCUAUCGGGAUUUUUCUAGGUACUCCUAUUGACAUUCCUCCAUGAAUUCCAGCUGGGAUUCCUCAAGCAAUUCCUAUAAGGACUCGUCCAGAGAUUCUAACUGUGGUACUUUCGGGAAUACUUGUAAAGAUUUCUCCUGGCAUACUUAUUUGCUGUAAUGCAUUCAGGAAAUCUUCCUGGAACUCCUCCAGCAAUGCUUCCUGUUAUUCCAACAAGGACUCCUCCAUGAACUCCUGCAGAAUACCUCUACCGAGUUUUCCUAGGAGGACUUUAGGUAUUCAGGUAUUUAUUCAAGGUUUUUUUAUUACGAUUCCCCGGCAUGCUUGAUAGGGUUUCUUUAAUAAUUCCUGGUGAGAUUCUUCCAGCAAUUUCUACUAGGAUUCAGUAUUAGCAUUAGCAUUAACCUACUAAGAUUUCUAUAGAAAUUCCUUCUUUGAAACCUCCCGAAGUUCAAGGAAUUCCUCCAGAAAUUCCUUCAAGAACCAUUCGAUACAAUCUUCCAUGGAUUAUUCCACAAGCUGCUCUGGUGAUUCCUCCAGGAACAUCUUAAGAAAUUUUAUCCAGGAAUUCCAGAUGGGAUCCGUCAAACAUUGCAAUAGCAUUUCCUCCUAGGAUUCCUCAAAAAAAAAAAUACUGCAUAUAGCCUUCAGGAGUUCUUCAAGGGAUAUCUCUAGAGAUUUCUCGUGGAAUUUCUCCAGGAAUUUUUGCAGGUAUUAUUCCUGGCAAUAUUUCCAGAAGCUCCUUCAGUAGGUAUCACCGAAGAAUUCCUUCUGAGAUUUUAUCCAGAGAUUCCUCCAGCAGCUCCUCGUGACCUUCCUCCAGAAAUUCCAGCAGGGAUUCCUCAAGCUAUUCUUCCUGCGAUUUUAUCAGCUAUUUUUUCAAGGACUCUUCCAGAAAUUCUAAGUGUGAUACUUCAAAAAUUCUGCUAGGGAUCCUUCUAGUGCUUUCUCCUGUUUUUUUUGCUGGGAUCAAGGUAAUCUUCUGGAAUUCUGCAGAUAUUUCUCCGUUUGUUCUUCCAAAGAUUACUCCUUCACAGAUGUUAUCCAAAGAUUCCUUCACAAAUUUCUUAUGGAAUCCCUGCAGAAAUUCCUCUUGGCCUUCCUCCAAGGAUGCCUCAAAUAACUCUUCUAGCGGUUCUUCCAGCAAUGCUUUCUCCAGGCACGCUAACUAUUGUACCUCCAGUAAUUCUUACAGGAAUUUAUCUUGGCAUUCUUGUUGGAAUUUUUCCAAGAAAUAUUACUGAGAUUCAUUCAGAAAUUCCUCCUGCUAUUAUUCAGGGGCUUUCCUAAUACCUUCAAAACACUUCUACCGGUUUUUCCGAAGACUUCUCGAUGUAUUCCUCCAGAUAUUCCUUCAAGGAUUUUUUCUUUGGAUUCUUCCAGGCAUUCUUGAUGGGGUUUCUCUAGAAAUUCCCGUAUUUCUUCUCCCGGAAUUCUUCGAGAGAUUGUCCUAAGAACUUCUUCUGGAAUUUCUUCAAAAACUCUUGCUGGGAUGAUUCAAGCCAAUCUAUCUAGGAUUUUUGUAGAAGUACCUCCGGUGUUCCGCACAGAAAUUUUAUCCUGGAUUUUUUCCAAAAAUUUCUCAUGGAAUUCUUCCAGGAACUCCUUCUGGUCUUCAUCCAGGAGUUCAUGCUGCGAUUCCACAAGCGAUACUUCCAAAAGUAGCGAUUCUUCCAGGGAUUUUUCUAAAGAUUCAUCCAGGAAUUCCAUCUCAUAUUUUUUAUAUGGAUUACUCUAAUUUCUUAUGAAAUUCUCCAUGAACUCCUCUUGGCCUGCCACCCGGAAUUCCAGCUGAAGGAAUCCCAAUAUUAAUCUCUAGUGAAAUCUAAAAGAAUUUCAGGAGACAAUCUCUAGUAAAAUCCCAUCAGGAGGAAUCCUAAAAGAAGUUCCUUGAAUAUAUACCAGGAGAUAUGGCUAUAGAAAUCCCCGGAGGAAUCGGUGGAGUAUUCUUAAGCAAUCCAGGAGGAGUCCCUAGAAGACUUCUUGGAAGUACACCAGUCAGAAAUGCUGUAAAAGUCGUAGGAAGAAUUGCUGGAAGAACGGUAGAUAUACAAGGCCGGCAAAGUGUUGUGGUGGAGAUCAUUGAAUUCGCCGGCCACUGAGAGAAAAUACCAAAUUCCCCAAGGUCAGAAUAGCUACAUUUGGUAACCCUAUCCUCGCCAGACAAGACCCGGUUCACGGGACAGCUGAGCUGUGUGCAAAUUGUGCCCUUUUCUGAGUCUGUUUUCGCCACCCAACCGUCACCCGUUGUUCCAUCCUCCCCAGAUCUGGAUUUGACCAAAUUUGGUAGCACUGAGCAUCAACACUGGCGCAGCUCCGUCACGGACUUGCGCACGGUGCAAUCGAAUCCUCCUCCUGCUGCUGCUGCAACGGAACAGUACUGCUCGCGUGUUGUAUACAAACAAUCCGAUGUCGUUGGUCGGCCUCUAGCCAGCCGAGGUGAGAACCGGCAACACCCGGCCCAGGACCUCUUUCCUCCCACUUUCAUGUUCCAUGUGCUCCUCCGCAUAACAGUCAACACACGAGGAGAAGUUGUUUUUAUCUUCGCCUGCUCUUGCUUGCUCCUGGUGCUGUUUUAUUUUGGUGCAUGUCCGAGGGUAUCCUCCGGAGCACAUGCGGAGGGUUUGGUCGGAAUGGGUGGCGGAUUGGUACCCAUCAUCAGCAUUAUCAUCAUCAUCGAGUGGCACGUUUUGGCGAUAGGGAAAUUUAUGAUCCCAUCCAGCCAAUCGGUUGUCGUAGUAGCGUUCAGCGUUCAUAAGGAAUGCUAAAGUUUGUGUGUGUGUGUGUGCCACUGCACUGUACCAGGAUACAGGAUGUGUGGUAGUGCUUGAUGGGAGUUUUACUUGCUUUUACGACCCGGGUGAAUCACAAUCAAUUUUGUUGCCGGAUCCGGCGUCAUCAAUUUGAAGGGCAUAAAUUUUGCUAUGUUGGGUUACAGCAGUCUUGGACUCAUUUCAGAUUGUACGACAUUUCCCCGAAAACCAGUUCCCCGAAUGAAGUUUCCCCGAAAGUUUUUUCUCCGAAUGUACCAUUUCCCCGAAAAAUGUUUCCCCGAAUGUACCAUUUCCCCGAAAAGAUUAUUGCAUAUGCCAUUUAACAUUCACCCAAUGCACAACUAGGGGGAUCCGGUUUUUAGGAGGAAGUACGCUUAGCCAAAGUACGUCAGACCGAAGUACGUUAAACCGAAUGGGUUGCUAAACUGAAGUUCAUAUGGUAGAACGGGUCAGUAGGCCGUCUUUUUCUAUUUCUAUUUUCUUCAUUAAUGAUGUUAAAAUUUGAUUUCGAAUUCCUAGAAUAUGUUUGAUUCCCUUGAGUUUUUUACAUUAUUUGAAUCUAGGGCAUUCUUUGGAUACUUCCAUGAUUUUAAAAUAUCCUUUUCCCUUUUCUCAGAUGAUUUCUUGAUGUUGAUGUCAUACUGCUACUGAAGUAAUGAUCAUUAAUUGAUCACUCUGCUUACAUUCCAACUGAAAAUUUUGCUUCUUUUUAUAAUACGCAGUUGUUUUUAGUUGUAAUAUUGCAUAGCUUAUUGAUGGUAGUAAUUUAUUAAACCACUGACUAUCUCAUGACAAAUUUACCUUCUUUGAGAAGUCGGCUAUUCUUUUGAGUAUUGGGUUUUAUAUAUGAUCAAACUGGUUUUUUUCAUGGAUUUCAACUCAACCGGACUGCAACCUAAAUAACGUACUUCGGCCUGACAUACUUCUGCCUAACGAUCCAGCACCGUCUUUUUGGCUCGAUUUAUAACUUUUCAUUUAAUAAAAUUUUCCUUCUUUUAAACAUAGACUGUUCUUGCAAGUCGAGCUGCUCAAUAAAUAAUUUGACUGUUGAUAUAUUUGUUUUAUUUUUUGGUUUUGUGACCAACUGUUCUAGUAUCUAUAGUCGUUGUAGUAGAAAUCUUCAUCAAAGAUUCUCCCUUCUUCCAUCAUAUGUCGGCAGCCUAAGUACUAAUAUGUUCUGUAGUAUUGAUAAUAGCUUAAAUUUAUUUCACCAAAUUAGGAUGAUAGUGUGUUAUAAUACACAGAACACCUAGAUUAAGUUGAAGAAUGUAAAAAUUGAUUGAGAUACUAAUAAAGAUUAUAUAUAUAAAAAAAAAAAUAUGUUCUGUAGAAAUGACAAAGAACUUUAGCAGAUUACUACCACAAUCUUGAUGACUCAUCUUAAAGGUAUUAUGCGUUUAAAUGGUGUUUUCAUCGAUUGAAUAUUGAAAAAUGAAUAGAAAGAACAGUAUGUGAAUAAAAAAGGGAAAAUUAUGAUGAGCGUGUUCUUAGUUGAGUGCCAUGUUAUUUUGAAUCAGUACAACAGCAAAGAACGACCCAUAUUUAACCAUCCGUAACUCGCGCGGUUGACCACCUGCGUUAGCACCACGCUAAUGAGCAUGAGCAUGAGCAUAGAUGACCGUACUAUUCGUAGUUGCUACUCCGUGAUUGACCAGAACAAUCGUAGUUGCACAAGGAACCAACAGACGGAGCUUGGGAGUAGCUUACCGUCCUCAAUGUGCAUCUUCGAGAAUUCCAAACUUUAUUAGGUCAAUAACGGCGCCGGCCACGUCCUUACGGUCAUCGAGGAAGGAAAGGAAUGUUAUUAUGACGUGCGUUGCUUACUAAAGACCGAGAUCACCUCUGCGUCUCCACGUCUGUCAUGGGAAGGACUUUUUGUUAGUGGGGAGGGCUAAAACAAAACACAUGCCGACAUCGAAGAUGACGAACCAUUCAGAUAGUUUUCGAAGUGCGAAAAUUAACGAAAGAGAAAAUAAAGUGAUUUGAACCAACGUGGCUUUGGAACUUGGGCCGACACUUGACGUGACGAACAUUUCAAUGUCUGUUGACUAAAAUCGCAAAAAAAUGUUGUUUGUUGCAUUUAUCGUAUCAUAAAUCGCCCCGUACGAAGAUGAGCAGUCAAAUAGACGACGACGACGACCGAAUGAAAACGCGGCCUGUACA